CCAUAUACACGAGAGCGCAUAGCGCAAUGAUGAGGACCUUCAUGUUGCUACUUCGGAGGCUGCAAUCAGACUGACGAUAUCCCGAUGUACUCUGCUUUG